CUCUGGUGAAACAGAGCGAAGAGAGGGAGAGAAAGACAGAGUUGUGCAUUUAUACCGAGAGGCAGAGAGAGAGAGAAGAAGAAGAAGAAGAAGAAGAAAGCGUUUAAGUGGCGAAUGAUAGAUCGUCGCUGAAAGUUUUGGUUAAGAGCCUGGUUUAAUCCAAGAUUAGAUCAGUUGUUAUGGCUGCUUGUUCUUCUCUUCUCUUUCCUUUGCUUUUGGUUCUUCUCACUUUCUCAGAUUCAUCAGUGGAAGUCCAUGGUCUCGGAGUUGGAAUCAACUAUGGCCAAAUUGCAAACAAUCUUCCAUCUCCAACCCGUGUCUCGCACCUCCUCAGAUCCCUCAAUAUCAGCAGAGUUAAACUCUAUGAUGCAGAUCCCAAUGUUCUUGUUGCUUUCUCCAACACAAAUGUUGAUUUCAUUAUUGGUUUAGGGAAUGAGUACCUUCAAAACAUGACCGAUCCGAUCAAAGCUCAGACCUGGGUUCAACAGCGAGUUCAACCCUACCUUACUCGGACCAGGAUCACUUGCAUCACCGUGGGGAACGAGGUCUUCAAAUACAAUGAUCAUCAGCAAUGGUCCAAUCUCCUCCCAGCUAUGCAAACAGUUUAUAAUACUCUUGUUAAUCUUGGCCUUGAUAAACAAGUAUCCGUUACCACCGCGCAUUCGCUCGAUAUCUUAAGUGUGUCGUUCCCUCCUUCGGCCGGGGCUUUCAGGCAAGAUAUUGGGGAAUAUCUACAUGGUAUCUUGAACUUCCAUGCUCAGGUCAAGUCCCCGUUCUUGAUCAAUGCCUAUCCGUAUUUCGCGUACAAGGAUAGCCCGAAUGAGGUGCCAUUAGACUAUGUGCUUUUCCAACCUAAUCAAGGGACAAUGGAUCCUUUUACCAAUUUGAAAUAUGAUAACAUGUUGUAUGCUCAAGUUGAUGCUGUUUAUUCAGCUAUAAAAGCAAUUGGGCAUACGGAUAUCGAAGUCCGGGUUUCAGAGACGGGCUGGCCUUCCAAAGGGGAUGAAAAUGAAGUAGGAGCUACACCAGAGAAUGCAGGAUUGUAUAAUGGCAAUCUGUUUAAAAGGGUAGAACAGAGACAAGGUACACCGGCGAAACCAAAUGUCCCGAUCGAUAUAUAUGUUUUUGCUCUUUUCAAUGAGAAUCUAAAGACAGGUCCAGCAUCUGAGAGGAACUACGGCCUCUUCUAUCCAGAUGGCACCCUGGUUUAUAACAUUGGAGUUCAGGGUUAUCUUCCCGAGUUGAUAUAUUCAUCAGCUACAAAAAAUAAUGUCAAUUUGACUAGUUAGAUAGCUAUCCCAAAGGGAAAACACUCAAACAGUAUUGCUGGAGAUGACUCGAAUUCCAGGGAAGAGGAAAUUUCAGCAGGUAUGAGAAAAUCAGUGAGGAAUUAGUUCCAGGAGAUGGAGGAGGGCCCUAGUUUAAAGGUGACAUUGUGGUAGCCAAGGCAGUUAAAAUCACUAACAGUUGAUACAUGGAUUUAAAUUUUAUAUAUAUAUAUAUUCUUUAAUAAAAAAAAUACAUAAUAAAGAUGGUGAAGUUGAUGAGGAUUUUGAAGAAGGCUUUAGCUGGUUUUCAUGUUGUUCCCUAUAUAGUUGUUGGAAAUAUUGCUCUGUAUACUAAAAUAGAUUGUUUUUGUAUUGUUAUUCUU